AAGGAAUAUUGGUCAAUGGACGAAAGUCUGAACCAGCCAUGCCGCGUGAAGGAUGAAGGCCCUCUGGGUUGUAAACUUCUUUUAUAGGGGACGAAAAAAGCUCAUUCUUGAGCACUUGACGGUACCCUAGGAAUGAGCACCGGCUAACUCCGUGCCAGCAGCCGCGGUAAUACGGAGGGUGCAAGCGUUAUCCGGAUUUACUGGGUUUAAAGGGUGCGUAGGUGGGCAGUUAAGUCAGCGGUGAAAUCUCCGGGCUUAACCCGGAAACUGCCAUUGAUACUAUCUGUCUUGAAUAUCCUGGAGGUGAGCGGAAUAUGUCAUGUAGCGGUGAAAUGCUUAGAUAUGACAUAGAACACCAAUUGCGAAGGCAGCUCGCUACGGGAUUAUUGACACUGAGGCACGAAAGCGUGGGGAUCAAAC
rnacentral:rRNA from 1 species